AUUGAACGCUGGCGGCAGGCCUAACACAUGCAAGUCGAACGGUAGCACAGAGAGCUUGCUCUCGGGUGACGAGUGGCGGACGGGUGAGUAACGUCUGGGAAACUGCCCGAUGGAGGGGGAUAACUACUGGAAACGGUAGCUAAUACCGCAUAACGUCGCAAGACCAAAGUGGGGGACCUUCGGGCCUCACACCAUCGGAUGUGCCCAGAUGGGAUUAGCUAGUAGGUGGGGUAAUGGCUCACCUAGGCGACGAUCCCUAGCUGGUCUGAGAGGAUGACCAGCCACACUGGGACUGAGACACGGUCCAGACGCCUACGGGAGGCAGCAGUGGGGAAUAUUGCACAAUGGGCGCAAGCCUGAUGCAGCCAUGCCGCGUGUAUGAAGAAGGCCUUCGGGUUGUAAAGUACUUUCAGCGGGGAGGAAGGCGGUGAAGUUAAUAGCUUCACCGAUUGACGUUACCCGCAGAAGAAGCACCGGCUAACUCCGUGCCAGCAGCCGCAGUAA
rnacentral:rRNA from 1 species